rnacentral:rRNA from 1 species
AGCUCCAAUAGCGUAUAUUAAAGUUGUUGCAGUUAAAAAGCUCGUAGUUGGAUUUCUGGUAGGAGUGACCGUUCCGAACUUGAUUGUUCGUGUAUUGUGUUUUCUCCAGCCAUCCUUGUGGAGAACUUUUCUUGCAUUAAUUUGUAGGGAUUGGGACCCGCAUCGUUUACUGUGAAAAAAUUAGAGUGUUUAAAGCAGGCAAUCGCUUGAAUACAUUAGCAUGGAAUAAUAAGAUAGGACUUUGGUACUAUUUUGUUGGUUUGCAUACCAAAUUAAUGAUCAACAGGAACAGUUUGAGGAUAUUCGUAUGAACAUGUCAGAGGUGAAAUUCUUGGAUUUUGAUCAGACGAACUACUGCGAAAGCAUUUAUCAAGGAUGUUUUCAUUAAUCAAGAACGAAA